GCCUGGUUAGCUCAAUCGGUAGAGCGUGAGACUCUUAUAGAGAUCACUUUCUCAGAAAACGAUUGAUUUAAGCAAUCUCAAGGUUGCGGGUUCGGUGAGUUUAAUGAUCUAAGGUUCGAAUCAUAGAGUGAACA